rnacentral:snRNA from 1 species
ACCACCUUCGGGUGGGAUUCAUUAAAAAUGGAACAAUACAGAAGCGCUCUUAAAGAAUUUCCAAUGUUGUGCAAGAGGAAGAUUAGCAGUAGUCCCUGCGCAAGGAUGACCACUAAAGCACGAGAAGUAACAACAUUUUUU